rnacentral:rRNA from 1 species
UACGUAGGCAGCGAGCGUUGUUCGGAGUUACUGGGCGUAAAGGGUGUGUAGGCGGUUGUUUAAGUUUGGUGUGAAAUCUCCCGGCUCAACUGGGAGGGUGCGCCGAAUACUGAAUGACUUGGAGUGCGGGAGAGGUGAGUGGAAUUCCUGGUGUAGCGGUGAAAUGCGCAGAUAUCAGGAGGAACACCGAUGGCGAAGGCGGUUCUCUGGGCCUUACCUGACGCUGAGGAGCGAAAGCGUGGGGAGCAAACAGG